rnacentral:rRNA from 1 species
UCUGGUUGAUCCUGCCAGAGGUCACUGCUAUUGGUGUUCGACUAAGCCAUGCAAGUCAUAUGUUCCUCGUGAACAUGGCAUACUGCUCAGUAACACGUGGAUAACCUGCCCUAGGGAAGGGGAUAAUCCCGGGAAACUGGGGAUAAUACCCUAUAGGUUACAGAUGCUGGAAUGCUCUGUAAUCAAAAGUUCCGGCGCCCUAGGAUGGAUCUGCGGCCGAUUAGGUUGUUGUUGGGGUAAUGGCCCAACAAGCCAGUAAUCGGUACGGGUUGUGGGAGCAAGAGCCCGGAGUUGGAUUCUGAGACACGAAUCCAGGCCCUACGGGGCGCAGCAGGCGCGAAAACUUUACAAUGCGGGCAACCGUGAUAAGGGAACCUCGAGUGCCUGUAAAUGCAGGCUGUUCAGAUGCCUAAAACACAUCUGGAGAAAGGGCCGGGCAAGACCGGUGCCAGCCGCCGCGGUAAUACCGGCGGCUCGAGUGGUGGCCACUUUUAUUGGGCUUAAAGCGUUCGUAGCUGGGUUGUUAAGUCUCUUGGGAAAUCUGGCGGCUUAACCGUCAGGCGUCUAAGGGAUACUGGCAAUCUUGGAACCGGGAGAGGUGAGGGGUACUUCGGGGGUAGGAGUGAAAUCCUGUAAUCCUCGAGGGACCACCUGUGGCGAAGGCGCCUCACCAGAACGGCUUCGACAGUGAGGGACGAAAGCUGGGGGAGCAAACCGGAUUAGAUACCCGGGUAGUCCCAGCCGUAAACUAUGCGCGUUAGGUGUAUCGGUGACCACGAGUUACCGAGGUGCCGAAGGGAAACCGUGAAACGUGCCGCCUGGGAAGUACGGUCGCAAGGCUGAAACUUAAAGGAAUUGGCGGGGGAGCACCACAACAGGUGGAGCCUGCGGUUUAAUUGGACUCAACGCCGGGAAGCUCACCGGAUAGGACAGCAGAAUGAUUGCCGGGCUGAAGACCCUGCAUGACUAGCUGAGAGGAGGUGCAUGGCCGUCGUCAGUUCGUACUGUGAAGCAUCCUGUUAAGUCAGGCAACGAGCGAGACCC